rnacentral:rRNA from 1 species
ACUCAAAUGAAUAGACGGGGGCCCGCACAAGCGGUGGAGCAUGUUGCUUAAUUCGAGGCAACGCGAAGAACCUUACCCAGGUUUGACAUGCAUAUGACGUGAGGUGAAAGCCUUGUUCCCUUCGGGGCAUAUGCACAGAUGCUGCAUGGCUGUCGUCAGCUCGUGCCGUGAGGUGUUCGGUUAAGUCCGGCAACGAGCGCAACCCGUGCCGUCAGUUGCCAACAGGUAAAGCUGGGAACUCUGGCGGGACUGCCCGUGUCAAGCGGGAGGAAGGCGCGGAUGACGUCAAGUCCGUAUGGCUCUUACGCCUGGGGCUGCAAACGUGCUACAAUGGCCGGUACAAAGGGGUGCGAGUCCGCGAGGGCGAGCGAAUCCAUAAAACCGGCCCCAGUUCGGAUCGCAGUCUGCAACUCGACUGCGUGAAGCCGGAAUCGCUAGUAAAGGGGCAUCAGCAACGGCCCCUUGAAUACGUUCCCGGGCCUUGUACACACCGCCCGU